rnacentral:misc_RNA from 1 species
AAUUCUCAACCAUUCUUUGAUUGAUUUCGAGGAAUGGCUUGGAUUUUGGGAGUUGCCGGCCCCUUGGUCGACUCUCCUUAAAAGCAUUAGCAAAAGGUGGCAAGCCCCUGCAUGCACGGCCUUCGACGUGAUAAUGAUCGUCGUGGCUGGAGUGCGAGGGCAUUAGUUAGUCCUUUGCUUCUAAACGAAUCGUAUUGGGGGACUUGCACUUCGGUGAACGAACCCUUUACUUCAUUUGAC